CUUUCGUCUGUGGAUGGACACUUGGAUUGCUCUCAGCUUUUGGUUCUUGUGAAUUUGUUAUGAACAAUGGUGUGCAAAUAUCUGUUCGAGUACCUGCUUUCAAUUCUUUGAGAAGGGAGGACACAAGGACACCCAUCAAACACCGUUUCUGUUCAACAUCGUCCUGGAGAUCUUCGCCAGCACAACAAUGCGAUACAGCAGUCACGGAUAUCAGACUAGCGUAUCGGCUGCCAUUUUUCAUGGACAAUCUGAAUGUGCCUCUAAAACAUCCAAGACUCUGUUGACAAAUAAUAAAAUUGAUCGGUCAAUUUAAUAAACUUACUGGAUUGCUACUAUACAAAAUAAAUGAUAAGCAGAAACAAACAAAAAUAAAAUUUAAUUUUUAAAAUGA